rnacentral:rRNA from 1 species
AUGGCCGAAGCGGACAUGUCCAAAACGGCUUUUCGACGUCCCGGUUUCAUUGGUUUAUUUGAGUGGACAAUAAUGACCUUUGGAUUAAAAAAUGCCGGCGCCACGUAUCAAAGGGCUAUGAAUUUAUUUUUUCAUGAUUUACUUGGUGUUAUACUUGAGGUUUAUAUUGAUGAUAUUGUUGUCAAAUCGGAUGCUUUUGAAUCCCAUCUAGCCGAUUUGCACUUAGCUUUUGAGAGAAUGAAAAAAUAUGGACUAAAUAUGAAUCCUUUGAAGUUUGCUUUUGGUGUAUCGGCUGGAAAGUUUUUGGGUUUCAUUAUUCAUCAAGAUAGCAUAGAAAUUGAUCCCAAAAAGAUAGAAGCUAUACAAAAGGUGGAGGCUCCAACAUGCAAGAGAGAUAUGCAAAAGUUCUUUGGCAAAGUCAAUUUUUAA